rnacentral:lncRNA from 1 species
UUAGGAUAGAAUUAAACAACAGUAUUUAUGUAACUUUUGUCUUACACUAUUUAUGUUUUUGUGUGCGCUAAAUUAAACUUAUAUAUAUAUAGUUUAUUUUUCCAACUUGUAUAUAUUACAAAACAACAGUGAUUUUUUUUUGGGGUCAAACUCAAAACAACAGUGAUAAAAGUCAUAAAACAGGGCAAGAGAAAGAAAAUCAACAACACUUAUCUGCAGGCCACCUUUGUCUUUUUUAAAUAAUUUUAAAUAUGAGAAAUUCAAAUAAUUAAAAAUCACCCACUUUCAGUUUUUCUAUUAUAUUUUGGUUUAUUAAUAUUUCUCCCAUUGGAUUCCAGCUAAAAACACAAAUUUCUAUAUAUGCCACAAAAUAUUACUUUCUCCAAGUUAAAAAUAUAAAUUUAUUGUGAGGUGUAUAAUAAUAACGCUCUAUUAAAUAAAUUUCCUUUUCACGAAAUUUUUUAUUUUCGAGAUUACUUAAUUUAUUCAGUAUUAGAUUAUAAACGAUCAGGAAAAAGUUAGGAAGGAAUGAGCUCAAAGCCUGAAAUAAAAUCUAUUAAAAUACGUAAAAAACGUUUUUAAAAUCUUGAUAUUUCCAAAUUCAUAAUCAAAUAUAGUCAUUUUUUUUUCUUUCUAAACCACACAACAUAAAUAAAUCUAAUUUCC